CCUACGGGAGGCAGCAGUGGGGAAUAUUGGACAAUGGGCGCAAGCCUGAUCCAGCCAUGCCGCGUGAGUGAUGAAGGCCUUAGGGUUGUAAAGCUCUUUCAGUAGGGAAGAUAAUGACGGUACCUACAGAAGAAGCCCCGGCUAACUUCGUGCCAGCAGCCGCGGUAAUACGAAGGGGGCUAGCGUUGUUCGGAUUUACUGGGCGUAAAGCGCACGUAGGCGGAUUGUUAAGUUAGGGGUGAAAUCCCAGGGCUCAACCCUGGAACUGCCUUUAAUACUGGCAAUCUAGAGUCCGGAAGAGGUGAGUGGAACUCCUAGUGUAGAGGUGGAAUUCGUAGAUAUUAGGAAGAACACCAGUGGCGAAGGCGGCUCACUGGUCCGGUACUGACGCUGAGGUGCGAAAGCGUGGGGAGCAAACAGGAUUAGAUACCCGUGUAGUC
rnacentral:rRNA from 1 species